UGCAGUCGAGGGGCAGCAGGGUGGUAGCAAUACCACUGCUGGCGACCGGCAAACGGGUGCGGAACACGUACGCAAUCUACCCAUAACUGGGGCAUAGCCCUCCGAAAGGAGGAUUAAUACCUCGUAACCUUCGCAGGUGGCAUCACCUGCUUAGUAUAGCUCCGGCGGUUAUGGAUGAGCGUGCGGCUGAUUAGGUAGUUGGCGGGGUAACGGCCCACCAAGCCUGCGAUCAGUAACUGGUGUGAGAGCACGACCAGUCACACGGGCACUGAGACUCGGGCCCGACUCCUACGGGAGGCAGCAGUAAGGAAUAUUGGUCAAUGGACGCAAGUCUGAACCAGCCAUGCCGCGUGAAGGAUGAAGGUCCUCUGGAUUGUAAACUUCUUUUAUAGGGGAAGAAAUCACCGGAUUCUUCUGGUGUUGACGGUACCCUAGGAAUAAGCACCGGCUAACUCCGUGCCAGCAGCCGCGGUAAUACGGAGGGUGCGAGCGUUAUCCGGAUUCACUGGGUUUAAAGGGUGCGUAGGAGGGCAGGGAAGUCAGUGGUGAAAUCCUAGAGCUUAACUCUAGAACUGCCGUUGAUACUCUCUGUCUUGAAUCCCGUGGAGAUGAGCGGAAUAUGUCAUGUAGCGGUGAAAUGCUUAGAUAUGACAUAGAACACCAAUUGCGAAGGCAGCUCGUUACACGAAGAUUGACUCUGAGGCACGAAAGCGUGGGGAUC
rnacentral:rRNA from 1 species